AACUUGCGGCAAUGGAUCACUUGGUUCUCGCAUCGAUGAAUAACGCAGCGAAAUGCGAUAAUUAUUGUGAAUUGCAGAAUUCAGUGAAUCAUCUAAUCUUUGAACGCACCUUGCACCCUUUGGAAUUCCGAAGGGUAUGCUCGUUUGAGUGUCAUUGUACUCUCACACUCCUUUGAUCCUUUGGAUUCGGGGAGCGGUGGACUUGGGUGUUUGCUGCUUUCCUUGUGGCUCACCUCAAAUGCGUCAGUGCACCUCUUGGUUGGACAUAGUACGGCGUGAUAAGUGUCUUCGCCGGCACCUCGCAAGAGGGUGGCCGAUCGAGAGCUCUGUGCUUUCAAACCGUCUUCGGACACUUUCUGACAACUUGACCUCAAAUCGAGUAGGACUACCCGCUGAACUUAAGCAUAUCAAUAAGCGGAGGCU
rnacentral:misc_RNA from 1 species